UAUCACAUUCUCCCAAUCUUCUUCUGGAUCAUCCAAAUGCUCUCUAGCAAACUUCAGACGGGCCUGGACAUGUACUGGCCUAAGCAGGGGGACACGUCUGGCACUGCAGGAUUUGAGUCCCUGGCGGCGUAGUGUGUUACUGAUGGUAGGCUUUGUUACUUUGGUCCCAGCUCUCUGCAGGUCAUUCACUAGGUCCCCCCGUGUGGUUCUGGGAUUUUUGCUCACCGUUCUUGUGAUCAUUUUGACCCCACGGGGUGAGAUCUUGCGUGGAGCGCCAGAUCGAGGGAGAUUAUCAGUGGUCUUGUAUGUCUUCCAUUUCCUAAUAAUUGCUCCCACAGUUGAUUUCUUCAAACCAAGCUACUUACCUAUUGCAGAUUCAGUCUUCCCAGCCUGGUGCAGGUCUACAAUUUUGUUUCUGGUGUCCUUUGACAGCUCUUUGGUCUUGCCCAUAGUGGAGUUUGGAGUGUGACUGUUUGAGGUUGUGGACAGGUAUCUUUUAUACUGAUAACAAGUUCAAACAGGUGCCAUUAAUACAGGUAACGAGUGGAGGACAGAGGAGCCUCUUAAAUAAGAAGUUACAGGUCUGUGAGAGCCAGAAAUCCAUAAUUUGCACAAAAAAAAUCCUCAUUUUGUCUAUCAUAGUUGAAGUGUACCUAUGAUGGAAAUUACAGGCCUCUCUCAUCUUUUUAAGUGGGAGAACUUGCACAAUUGGUGGCUGACUAAAUACUUUUUUGCCCCACUGUAGGUAGCACAGGUGACCAGGAAGGGUUAGUACAGGUGAGAGGAAGGGUUAGUACAGGUGAGAGGAAGGGUUAGUACAGGUGAGAGGAAGGGUUAGUACAGGUGACCAGGAAGGUUAGCACAGGUGAGAGGAAGGGUUAGUACAGGUGACCAGGAAGGGUUAGUACAGGUGACAAGGAAGGGUUAGUACAGGUGAGAGGAAGGGUUAGUACAGGUGACCAGGAAGGGUUAGUACAGGUGAGAGGAAGGGUUAGUACAGGUGAGAGGAAGGGUUAGUACAGGUGAGAGGAAGGGUUAGUACAGGUGAUCAGGAAGGGUUAGUACAGGUGAUCAGGAAGGGUUAGUACAGGUGAUCAGGAAGGGUUAGUACAGGUGACCAGGAAGGGUUAGUACAGGUGACCAGGAAGGGUUAGUACAGGUGAUCAGGAAGGGUUAGUACAGGUGAUCAGGAAGGGUUAGUACAGGUGAGAGGAAGGGUUAGUACAGGUGAGAGGAAGGGUUAGUACAGGUGAGAGGAAGGGUUAGUACAGGUGAGAGGAAGGGUUAGUACAGGUGAUCAGGAAGGGUUAGUACAGGUGAUCAGGAAGGGUUAGUACAGGUGAUCAGGAAGGGUUAGUACAGGUGACCAGGAAGGGUUAGUACAGGUGACCAGGAAGGGUUAGUACAGGUGAUCAGGAAGGGUUAGUACAGGUGAGACGAAGGGUUAGUACAGGUGAUCAGGAAGGGUUAGUACAGGUGAUCAGGAAG